AUUGCACGCUGGCGGCCGGCCUAACACAUGCAAGUCGAACGAGUGGCGGACGGGUGGGUAAUGUCUGGGAAACUGACUGAUGGAGGGGGAUAACUACUGGAAACGGUAGCUCAUACCGCAUACCAUAAGAUGUGCCCAGAUGGGAUUAGCUAGUUGGUGGGGUAACGGCUCACCAAGGAGACGAUCCCUAGCGGGUCUGAGAGGAGCACAAGCCACACUGGAACUGAGACACGGUCCAUACUCCUACGGGAGUCAGCAGUGGGGAAUAUUGCACAAUGGGCGCAAGCCUGAUGCAGCCAUGCCGCGUGUAUGAAGAAGGCCUUCGGGUUGUAAAGUACUUGCAGCGGGGAGGCGUUACCCGCAGAAGAAGCACCGGCUAACUCCGUGCCAGCAGCCGCGGUAAUUC
rnacentral:rRNA from 1 species